GAUGAACGCUGACAGAAUGCUUAACACAUGCAAGUCAACUUGAACUUCGGUUUGGGUGGCGGACGGGUGAGUAACGCGUAAAGAACUUGCCUCACAGAUAGGGACAACAUUUGGAAACGAAUGCUAAUACCUGAUAUUAUGAUUUUAGGGCAUCCUAGAAUUAUGAAAGCUAUAUGCGCUGUGGGAGAGCUUUGCGUCCCAUUAGCUAGUUGGAGAGGUAACGGCUCACCAAGGCAAUGAUGGGUAGCCGGCCUGAGAGGGUGAUCGGCCACAAGGGGACUGAGACACGGCCCUUACUCCUACGGGAGGCAGCAGUGGGGAAUAUUGGACAAUGGACCAAGAGUCUGAUCCAGCAAUUCUGUGUGCACGAUGAAGUUUUUCGGAAUGUAAAGUGCUUUCAGUUGGAAGAAAA
rnacentral:rRNA from 1 species